GAGUGGCGAACUGGUGAGUAACACGUGGGAAACCUGCCCAGAAGCGGGGGAUAACACCUGGAAACAGAUGCUAAUACCGCAUAACAACUUGGACCGCAUGGUCCGAGCUUGAAAGAUGGCUUCGGCUAUCACUUUUGGAUGGUCCCGCGGCGUAUUAGCUAGAUGGUGGGGUAACGGCUCACCAUGGCAAUGAUACGUAGCCGACCUGAGAGGGUAAUCGGCCACAUUGGGACUGAGACACGGCCCAAACUCCUACGGGAGGCAGCAGUAGGGAAUCUUCCACAAUGGACGAAAGUCUGAUGGAGCAACGCCGCGUGAGUGAAGAAGGGUUUCGGCUCGUAAAACUCUGUUGUUAAAGAAGAACAUAUCUGAGAGUAACUGUUCAGGUAUUGACGGUAUUUAACCAGAAAGCCACGGCUAACUACGUGCCAGCAGCCGCGGUAAUACGUAGGUGGCAAGCGUUGUCCGGAUUUAUUGGGCGUAAAGCGAGCGCAGGCGGUUUUUUAAGUCUGAUGUGAAAGCCUUCGGCUCAACCGAAGAAGUGCAUCGGAAACUGGGAAACUUGAGUGCAGAAGAGGACAGUGGAACUCCAUGUGUAGCGGUGAAAUGCGUAGAUAUAUGGAAGAACACCAGUGGCGAACGCGGCUGUCUGGUCUGUAACUGACGCUGAGGCUCGAAAGUAUGGGUAGCAAACAGGAUUAGAUACCCUGGUAGUCCAUACCGUAAACGAUGAAUGCUAAGUGUUGGAGGGUUUCCGCCCUUCAGUGCUGCAGCUAACGCAUUAAGCAUUCCGCCUGGGGAGUACGGCCGCAAGGCUGAAACUCAAAGGAAUUGACGGGGGCCCGCACAAGCGGUGGAGCAUGUGGUUUAAUUCGAAGCUACGCGAAGAACCUUACCAGGUCUUGACAUACUAUGCAAAUCUAAGAGAUUAGACGUUCCCUUCGGGGACAUGGAUACAGGUGGUGCAUGGUUGUCGUCAGCUCGUGUCGUGAGAUGUUGGGUUAAGUCCCGCAACGAGCGCAACCCUUAUUAUCAGUUGCCAGCAUUAAGUUGGGCACUCUGGUGAGACUGCCGGUGACAAACCGGAGGAAGGUGGGGAUGACGUCAAAUCAUCAUGCCCCUUAUGACCUGGGCUACACACGUGCUACAAUGGAUGGUACAACGAGUUGCGAACUCGCGAGAGUAAGCUAAUCUCUUAAAGCCAUUCUCAGUUCGGAUUGUAGGCUGCAACUCGCCUACAUGAAGUCGGAAUCGCUAGUAAUCGCGGAUCAGCAUGCCGCGGUGAAUACGUUCCCGGGCCUUGUACACACCGCCCGUCACACCAUGAGAGUUUGUAACACCCAAAGUCGGUGGGGUAACCUUUUAGGAACCAGCCGC
rnacentral:rRNA from 1 species